CUCUAGAUUCAAAAUUCGUGAGCGAGGCAGUAGUUGUAUAGCGGAUAAAAGGAAAACCAAGAAAUAUGAAAAAUAACCGAGGAUAACUUCUAGUACACGUUCCCAGUCACCUGUACUUCCAAAUUACAGAAACAUGGUAGAAGCCUCAAAAACGGUCCCACCCUUUCUGCAUCUAUACGCUGAAUUAGGUCCUGGGUAAUUCUUUGGGACACCGGUUAACACGCCGAACAUCCAGCCUAGGACGAUGUCCAUGCGUCAAAAUACCCGUUCACCGAGCCACCAACCGCCUAGUAAUGCUGAACCCAGAAUUCAACUGUCUACCAGCUGUCUACGUCUACGCAACCUACGUGGCGGUCCCGUGUCGCUUUCCUUCGUGCGUUGUUUUAUUUUGUGCCUCCGUUGUAAUCAUGAAUAACCACCCAGUUGAAAAACACAACAGGAAAUUUUACCAGUCUGUUGUAUUUUGGGACGUUGUUUCUGUAGUUCUGUUGUCUGUAGUUCUGUUGCCUGUAGUUCUGUUGCCUGUAGUUCUGUUGCCUGUAGUUCUGUUGCCUGUAGUUCUGUUGUCUGUAGUGUGACGUCCUGUAGUAGAAAGUUCUGUAGUUCUUGAUGAAUAUUUAAUUAAAAAUUGACAGAGACGUCCGUAAGAUUAUGUAAAUUUGUUAGCAAAAAAAAACAUAAAAGUAAAAAAAAAUUUAAAAAAAAACGUCCUUGCCUAGGAUUCGAACAUGCGACCUCUCGAUUCCUA